GGCAUCUAGGCUUUUAUGCAUGCAACUUCCUACACACAAAGGUUAGUUUCAUCUGGGCUGUAACAGUUAAAUGUUCAAGUACAUGGCAAUAAAUGGUUUUUGUGUCAAGCCCGCGAGAAAGAACAGCAAUGGUGAUAGAUGUACCGAACUGUUGAGUCAAUAUCAGAACGUAAUGCAGCCAUCAGAGUAGGAAGGUGAGAAAGAAUCCA
rnacentral:misc_RNA from 1 species